rnacentral:rRNA from 1 species
GGUUAAGCGACUAAGCGUACACGGUGGAUGCCCUGGCAGUCAGAGGCGAUGAAGGGCGUGCUAAUCUGCGAUAAGCGCCGGUAAGGUGAUAUGAACCGUUAUAACCGGCGAUACCCGAAUGGGGAAACCCAGUGUGACUCGUCACACUAUCAUUAACUGAAUCCAUAGGUUAAUGAGGCGAACCGGGGGAACUGAAACAUCUAAGUACCCCGAGGAAAAGAAAUCAACCGAGAUUCCCUCAGUAGCGGCGAGCGAACGGGGAGGAGCCCAGAGCCUGAAUCAGCAUGUGUGUUAGUGGAAGCGUCUGGAAAGGCGCGCGAUACAGGGUGACAGCCCCGUACACAAAAGCGCAUAUGCUGUGAGCUCGAUGAGUAGGGCGGGACACGUGGUAUCCUGUCUGAAUAUGGGGGGACCAUCCUCCAAGGCUAAAUACUCCUGACUGACCGAUAGUGAACCAGUACCGUGAGGGAAAGGCGAAAAGAACCCCGGUGAGGGGAGUGAAAAAGAACCUGAAACCGUGUACGUACAAGCAGUGGGAGCACCCUUUGGGGUGUGACUGCGUACCUUUUGUAUAAUGGGUCAGCGACUUAUAUUCUGUAGCAAGGUUAACCG